AAUGGCUCCGAGGCGGCGCAGCUGCUGGAGGCUGCGGACUUCGCGGCUCGCAAGCACCGGCAGCAGCGGCGGAAGGACCCCGAGGGGACCCCCUACAUCAACCACCCCAUCGGUGUGGCUCGGAUCCUGACCCAUGAGGCGGGAAUCACUGACAUUGUGGUGUUACAGGCAGCCCUGCUCCAUGACACGGUGGAGGACACAGACACCACCCUGGAUGAGGUGGAGCUACACUUUGGGGCACAGGUGCGGUGCCUGGUGGAGGAGGUAACAGAUGACAAGACUCUGCCCAAGCUCGAGAGAAAGCGGCUGCAGGUGGAGCAGGCGCCCCACAGCAGCCCUGGGGCCAAACUGGUGAAGCUGGCAGACAAGCUGCACAAUCUGAGGGACCUGAAUCGCUGCACCCCAGAGGGAUGGUCAGAACAUCGAGUCCAGGAAUACUUCCAGUGGGCCGCGCAGGUGGUGAAGGGGCUUCAGGGAACAAACCAGCAGCUGGAAGAGGCUCUAAAACGUCUGUUCCAGGAGCGGGGACUGACACUCUGAGCAGUGCUUGGAGCUCUCCAGCAGCACAACUCCAGCCUCGUCCGGGCCGGACAGGAUUCACACACCUUUUCUGUGCCUCCCGUGCUCCCUCCAUCCUUCCCAGAUAUCAGAGGCCAAAAAAGACUUGCCUUUUUUCUCAAUCUGAAGGUCUCCUGCUAACUAAGCUGAGCCCCCUGAGUGUGGGGAUCAGAUGUACCCAUCCAUUUCUGAUGCACUCACUGCCUCUCCCCGAGUCUUGGGUCUAUUUGCUAUUUUGCAUGGUGGGAUCUCUGGCCCCUCAGGAACUUGAGAUUAUAUAAGUACUAGUUCCUAAGUCAUUAUGAACAAUAAAAAGAACUCUGGGUAAA